CAGCCGCCGCGGGAAUACGAAGGGGGCUAGCGUUGCUCGGAAUGACUGGGCGUAAAGGGCGCGUAGGCGGCGAUCAAAGUCAGGCGUGAAAUUCCUGGGCUCAACCUGGGGGCUGCGUUUGAUACUUGAUUGCUAGAGUGGGGAAGAGGGUCGUGGAAUUCCCAGUGUAGAGGUGAAAUUCGUAGAUAUAUGGAGGAACACCGGUGGCGAAAGCGGCUCUCUGGUCUGUAACUGACGCUGAGGCUCGAAAGCGUGGGGAGCAAACAGGAUUAGAUACCCCCGUAGUCCCUGUCUCUUAUAC
rnacentral:rRNA from 1 species